UGUGAUGGACCACAGCAACAUAUCAAAUCAAACAAUUUUCUCAUUACCCAUACAUACCUAUCCUUAGGAUUAACCAAUAUGAAACAGAGUACAGAAAAGAAAUAAUAGUAAGCCAAAUAAAUUAAAGGCAUGUGUUAUAAAAUAAAUGCAAACUGUCCUGGCAUUUAAGAAAGUUGCUAAAACUUGGAUGUUUUGGAAAGCUUUGGGGAGGGAUUGGUAUCAUCAUCAUCAUCAUCAUCAUCAUCAUCAUCAUCAUCAUCAUCAUCAUUUCUCAUGCUGGAUGAUACUUUUUAUGAUACCACUUUUGCAGGUAUGCUGGUAGCAUUGUUAGCUGCUUGGACCUUUUUCUGGGGCUCAUUGGCAUAUUGAUUUCAGUAAAUAUCCGGACUUGCUUUUCUAUGAACCUUGAGGCAGAGGCCUGAAUGCCUGGACAGAGAGGAACGUUCCUGAAGACUUUGGUGCACCAGGAGUGAGUAUAUGUUUUCUUUUUGGUGGUUUGGAUUUGUGUAUGUUUGUGUGUGUGGCCUGUAUGAUUUGUGUGUAUAAUUAGUGUAAUACAGGUUGGGGAAAGUAUGGGGACUUUACCAGGGAAAAGUGCUGCUGAGACUGAAAUAUCCUCCAUCCCCCAUAUCUCCAUUAGUGGUUAGAGGAUUGGUUGGAAGCUUGUACAAAGGUAUUAGAUAAGGUGACUAUGAUUAAUUAUUGUAAGGAGGUUUGGCUGACGUUUGUGUUGAUACAGCCUAAUUAUAGGUGGAGUAAGUUUGGGGAGUCAGACCCAUAUUGGAUCAAUGCUUUGAAGAAAGUUUUGGUGAAAAAAGAAGUUGAAAGUUCAAUUGUUAUAUGUUGAACCUCAGUUCCAUGUUCAGUAGUUUAACUCCUCUUCCCCGAGAAGUUCUAGAGUUUUGUAUGGGAAGGAAGAAGAAGAGGAAGGUUGGGAUCCUUUAGCUUAUGCUACAUGCCCACCUCCCCCUCCUUCGUAUAAUCCAAGUUGUGGGUGAAAUUGAUGUUGUUGCUGGGAGCUGAAAGGAAGAGACUUCAGCAGGACAGUAAUAUAGGCAGCUGGAAAAGGAGUUGGGUGAAUUGUUAGUAACUGUGAAACAGAAUCCAUCCACUUCUCCUCAUGUUACAUGUUCACAAACUAAAGGAAUGUUUCCUUUAAGAGGAAUGCUGAAUGGUAUUGCGGCUUUUGUGAAUGAGUCUUUGACAUCUUCUGAUCUGGAAGAUUAUAAAAGAAAUAUGCCAUCUUUCUAAGCGGAUCUGAUUAAGUUGUCUGAGUCAUUGGAUUUGUUCUUGAGACCCAAUCUGUAUACUUUUGCAGAGUUACAGUGUAUAUUGGGUUAUUUGUUCUCCCCUGAGGAGAGGUCACAAAUUCGAAAGGCAGCUAUGGUUUUUUUUUUGGAUUAAACCCAAGUGGGGGCUGUUCAGCCCGUUGCUGCAGAUGUUAAGUCUCCAUUAGUUGAUCUUGGUUGGAAUAAUAAUAAUUUAGCUGAUCGGGAACAAAUGGAGGGAGUUAAGACAGCUGUACCUCAAGGAAGAAACAAAAGUUUUUGAGGUGGAACAGUUGUGGGAAGAAACACCGUCUGUGUUUCUGGAAAAUAUUAAGGACAAUUUGAAUAAGCACACUGGUCUUUCUCCUGAAACGCCGGCUUAUGAGUCCUUAAUGAAAAUGAAAUUUGUGACGAAAUCAUGGCCAGACAUACAGAAGCUACUACUGAUAUUGCUGCUCUGUUGAAAGAAGCUUAAAAGGUCUAUGUGAAUUGGGAUGAGGCCAAGACUAGAAGAGGAAAAGGUUUUGUGAAACUUUGGUUGCGAUGUGGCGACAGUGUCCUGGAAUUGGGAGAGGAUUACACCAGUGGGAAAAAAGUCUAGUGUUGGUGGAUUGGAAAGCAAAAAGUGUAUUAUACGUUUGGAUGUGAUAUUUGUUCUAGAAGUAGGUCUUAAUCUGCUUGGGAGAGAUGCAUUGUCUCUUCUGGGGUGUGAGCUUGGUAUACAGAUCUUUAUUGUUCUUGGAUGAGGCAGAAAACUCUGUAGGAAUGUGAUAAGGAAGGUUUAUUGUUCUUCUUACCUGAGGUUGAAUGCGAAUAUUUUGUCUUUGAUUAAUGUGAUGUGAUGGUGAUAUGUGUGUGCUGGCUAAUUAAGUGACCUUCUUGGUUUAAGUCUGGAGCUGUGGAGGACAGGUGUGGUUAGGGCCCAAAAUCAAGUUUUUGAUUAAAAACCGCAUCCUGAAGUUUUCCACUGCUUGAGGAAUGGGCUACAAGAUGUCAAGGAUAAAACUGAAAUGGGUAUCUGAAGGGAUGGAACCUUUCCAGGUUUUAUUCCAGGUUUGCAAAUGUUGUUAAAUGGUAUGUGUGUGUAAUGAGAGUUGUUUAGGCAAUAGAGCUCAUUGUCUUGAAAAAUAAUAAUAAUGAGAAUGAUAAUAAAGCUCCCUGAAGUAUUUAUGCUGACUAAUUGGUAGGGAAAAGGCAUGUGUGCGUUGGAAUACACUAAAAGGUCUGAUUGCAGAAUAAAUAUGAGUGUAUGUGGUAAGCCCUUAAAUGGGGGUGGUAAAGUGAUCCUGAUAUUUGUGAAUGCCUGUGCGUUGAACCUCUGAGAAAUUUCCUUUUGUAUAUUGAAAUAGUGAGUGGCAAGAGUUUGUUGUUGUAGUUGUUGUUAUGUUGUAAUAGCAAGUGUGUGAAUGAGCAAGUGAGAGAUGAGAGAGAUCCUAUGGAGAAGUAGGAUUAGGUAGAGGUAUUUGCGAUGUUAAUUAGAGACAGGAGUAGUAUUUUUCUUCUCUAUAUUUCCCCCGUCUUUUUGUUCUGAAUAAGAGAAGUAAGAAAGGGGGGAGGGAAGGUGCGGUUUGUUUUCCCUUUUACACAUUUUUUUUUCCUUUGUUGAGUUUGUCUGAGAGAAAGGAGGGGCGAAUGGGUGAUUUGAUCCUGCAUUGUUUCUGACUGCAUUGGCAGCUAUGCAGAUGUAUUUCCUGUUCUGCUUUAGAGAAGUGACAUUGAAAGUUUGAAAAGUUUUUGGGAGUAGAGAUCCGGAGUACCUCUAUUAGGUGAUUUUCUUUUGCUUUUUGAAGUUUUUUAUUACCCUCUUUUAUGUUUUUGUGUCUGUGUAUUUUAAAUGAUUUUGAAUGCUGAGAAGGAGAUUUCUAGAUACUAGAUACUGGAUAGUCUGGGGAAUAGUUGAUUAUGUUAUUUUAGCUUAGUGUUGUCUAGGUAAAGGAUGUUUCCUUGAGGGAAAAAUUACUGGUAAAAGGUAAAGAUGACUUUUGGUCUGGUUAGCUAGGAAGUUACUUGUAAGUUAGUCUGUAUAGACUUGUGAAUUUAGAUUAAGCUUUGCAUUUCUUUGAAGCUUGUGGAAAUAGUUUAGCUAAUUUUUGAUAGAAGUGUGGUGUGAUUCCUCUGAAGUGGGGAGAGUUGAGUAUUUAUUGAGACUCUAUUGAUUUAUUGAUAGUUAAUUCUAAACUAAGUUGUUUGGAAGAAAGGUUGAAGAGUUGAAGAAAGUAAAAAUAUAGUGUUGCUCCAGUGUUAUGUUUGCCUGGUUUAAGGAAAAAUUUCCACUUGUCUGUAGUAGUGGAAGAUGGUAUAGCCAAAGGAAUGUUGGUUUGCAUGUGAACUGGGAACUAAAAGGUGGUGCACAAAUGCUAGGUUUUUAAAAUUGUCUCAAGAGAGUUUGGUUCUCUUGACCAAUAGGAGAGAGAGAUGGGAAGAUGUGGAAUGUGAUUGAAUGAGUGCAUGAGGGAACCUAUUGGGGAACGCAAGCACUUAUUGAUUUUAUUAAAUGUAUAUGCAUAUAUGUGUCUAGGGGUGUGUAUACAAUAGUUAUACAAAUGGUACGGAAAUGAAUACAUUGUGUAUGUAAAAAAUAUGUAUGUAAAAAUAUGUAGAGAUUUGACCAUUUGGCCUUUUCAAUGAAUCUAAGUAGAUUACAUUGAAAUGCUGGUGGUGUGACCAUUGAUAUAUGUAAUAAUAAUAGUGGAUUAUUUUACUGGAUAGGUUGAAGUCUUUCUUUGUGUAAAGAUAGGUGCUCAGAAGAUUGUUAAAUCAUAUUAGAGCGAAUAAUACCCAAAUAUAGUGAUAGGGGUAUACAUUUCAUUGUCCAAGGUGAUGAAGGUUAUGGAACAAUUAGGAAUUGAUUGGCAAUUACAUUUAUUGUUUAAAAAUUAAUGUUAGAGUUUCAACUACUUUGAAUGAAGUGUUUGCCUUUAGCUCUAUUAAGAAUAGGAACUAGUCCUAGGAAAGAUCUGGGGAUAUCUAUAUAUGAAAUGAUGUUUGGAUGGCCAUAUGUGGGGAAAGUUGAGAUGCCUAGGAUAGAAUUGAAGGAUGUUUUUUCUGAAAAUAUAUAUACAGGGACUGUCCCAGUGUUUUUCUCAUUUAAGGUAAAAAGGACAGAAUCUACCUCUUGAUUUCCAAGCACAUGAAUACAAAAGUGGAGACUGGGUCCGAUAAAAGCCAUUACUGAGAAGAAGUUGCAGCUGGUGUGGAAAGGACCGUUCCAAGUUUUGCUGACUACUGAAUCGGCUGUAAGGACUAAGGAACAAAUUUGGGUAUGCUAUUCCAGAGUCAAGGGAUUGGUGGCUUUGCCUUAUGGAAAGACAGUUGCUGCAAACCCUCUUAAAUUGACUUUUUGAUGACAAACCUUUAGAUGAUUGAUGACCAAUGGAUGGAAGAAGAGUUUUAUGAAGAGAUUUGUAUUUGGCUAGGAGUGGUAAUAAUUCUUGUUGUGUUUUUGAUUGUAUUGAGGAAAGAUAUUAUUGAUUGGUGUAAAUCUAUGUUUUGAUAUCCAGUGGAUGUAAGUUCUCCUUGAUUGAUUGAUGUUGGGGGAGCUAGUUCACUAGGAAUAAUGGGAUUUUUUGUGGUAAUGUUUGUUAUUCUACAGGUGUGGAUAGGAAUGGGGAUUUUGGCUGUGUUGCCUAGUUACCCUAUAACAUGGUAGCAGCUAUGUUUCCAUACUGAAUUCGAGCACCGUUAUUCUUUUAUAGAAACACCACUAACCCUAAUAGACACCACUGAGGAAGCUGAGAUAUGUAUUAAGUCAUCUUUUGAAGAUGGUGUGUGCCAAGUGCAAAUGUACAUAUGAGAUAGUUCCUCAAUACAUUGGCCUUACAAAUAGGAUGGAAUUUUUAUAUAAGCAAUGCACUGAGCUAUUUGGUAAUUAUAUACCUUCAUACAAGAAGUUUUGGAUUUUGGAGGAAGGGUUACAUUUUCUAUGUCUAAGGAUACAAGUUCCCUCCAAGUUAAUGUUUUUAUGUGGUAACAUGGUAUUGACCAAAUUACCUAUUGUAUGGAGAGGAGUUUCUAUACUGUUACAGGAUAUUCAUAGUUUACAGAAAUAAAAGAUAAUGAAGAGGAGAAUUGGGGAUUGUGAGAAAAAUAGGAAUUAUUCCUGUAAAAGCAUAACCUGAGUUACGCCAUUUUGAAAUCAUGUUAAGGUUUUGUUUUACCUUGUAUAACCUGAUUAUAUAAUUUAGUUGACAUUUAAGAACAUGAGAAAGGAAAUGUGUAAUUCCUGUUUUUGAGAAGAUGUUUGUUUUGCAGGAAAUACGUUCCUGGGUUAACUUGCCCUUAUUAAUUAAAGGAAGUACGCAAUUGAUGUUUUUGAGGGGUAUUUCUGUUGGGAAUUGGGGAAUUUCCAGGGUGGAAUUAUGUACUGCAUAUGUUAUAUAAGAUGUUAUGUAAGAUCUGGAACUGAUUCCCAAGGUACUUUAUUGACGUGUAUUCUGAAUGUCCUGAAGACUAUAAAAACUUGUGUAAAUUGUUUUAUUUCCGUCUUUCUCUACUUUAGAGAGAAAGUCCCUUUGCAAAGAAUAAACUCUGUUCCAGGAUUA